AACAGUGUCGGAUUGUUGUCGCGGGUACUGUUGUGUGCUUCAUGUGAACGGUGUACGGAAAGCAGCAGCAGCUGUGCAAAGUUUCAAAAAAAAAAAAACGAAAAGUAAGGCGGCUGAGCAGCAGCCGACCGACCGAAUUAAAUACAUUACGCGAGUGCUGCUAACGUUUAUUGUGUUUGCGAAUUGCGAUUUUUACGUUUUUAUUAUAAUUUUGUGCAAUGAUUUUGUUAAGUAAAACGCGUGAAUAACAGAAAAUGCGAAGCUAAGUAAGUGUAUGGAAGAAAGCAAAUGCAGAAAUUUAUUGAAUUCAAAAUGACUACUACUAACCAAAAAUACGACUAAGGGUCGCCCUCAAAUAACAAACUAAUAAUUCACAGACCAAAAAAAAAUUGGCAAUCGAAGCUAAAAAACAAAAUAACAAAAAAAAAGUUGUGCAACCCAAUUUGCACAAACUUUUUGCCGUUCGCAGAGGCGCAUGCUUGCGCAGAGUGGGAGGAAGAAGAGUGAAAAUGUUAUAAAAGUGCAUAGAAAAUUUAACUAACUAACAACAACUAACAAAGCAAGUAGUGUUCUAAAUAAUGUCUGUGUAACAGCCAAAAGUAAUGCAAAAAGUGUAAAAACCUCAAAAUUAACGACCGCAAUCAAUACUUACUGUUCGAAACGGUUGCACUUAAUCACCAGUAACACCACCACCACCACCACCACCACUCAGCAUUGCACCAGCGACACCAACAGUGUUUCAGUUGCAAUUAGAAUAACAAUAAAAAAUAAACAAAUCAAUCAAGUGCAAUGUGAAAGCAACUGACUGUAGUAGCAACAAAAACAACA